AAAGAUUAAGCCAUGCAUGUCUAAGCAUAAGCAAUCUAUACUGUGAAACUGCGAAUGGCUCAUUAAAUCAGUUAUCGUUUAUUUGAUAGUACCUUACUACUUGGAUAACCGUGGUAAUUCUAGAGCUAAUACAUGCUAAAAACCCCGACUUUUGGAGGGGUGUAUUUAUUAGAUAAAAAACCAAUGCCCUUCGGGGCUCCUUGGUGAUUCAUAAUAACUUAACGAGUCGCAUGGCCUUGUGCCGGCGAUGGUUCAUUCGAAUUUCUGCCCUAUCAACUUUCGAUGGUUAGGUCUUGGCUAACCAUGGUUU
rnacentral:rRNA from 1 species